rnacentral:lncRNA from 1 species
UACAGCAACAUGGGCACCUUACCAGUGGCUACGACCCUUAAAACAUGCCUCUCCCUCCCUCCCUCCCCUUUCAACUGUUAAUUUCAUAUGAAUUUGGAAGAAGAGAGAUACAAGGGCCCCUCCCCACCUCCAUGACAGGGCAUUAACAGACCCAGUCUCAUGUAGGUUGGUAAUCAUGGCUGCAUAACAGAGCCAUUCAAGAGUUCGGAGUUCAAGAGUGCCAGCAGGCAUGCCAUGCCAUGCCAUACUUGGAACUCUAUCCUAUCCUCUCCCUCUCCUUCCCAGGAUCUUAGAUUCUUCCAUGCCAUUCUCUGAGCCUUGGAGGAGGUAACACAAGAUGUAUUGCUUAUGGCUUGGCACUCACAGUCAUGAUGCAGUCACUGCUGCCCACUGCAGAAAGAAGCUUCUCUGACCAAAGCUGACAACACUACACAACACCAUAAACAGUUACUAAGCAGGCAAUUUGAUAGCUACAUCAGGUCUGUUUAACAAAACACCAGCUGUAGCUUUCCCAGGGGGGCCCAGAAUCUCCCCAGUCAUGUCCUGUUGGCCGGGUUUACAGGAUCAGGCACGAAUUCCCUCCUGUGGAGCAGGCAUAAAUUCCAAUCAGAUAGUUGGUUACUCUCACAACAGAAAUGCCACUGUUGCACCAGUAGGCUCAUCUUGCCUGGUCAGUCAGUAUUGUUACACAAACAAUUCACAGCCCAGUAAGCAUGUGGAUGACAAUUCUCCCCCAACACCCUACUAAGCAUUACUAGUACCUUAAAGGCAUUACUAGUACCUUAAAGGCUGGCCACAAGGAAGAGGCUGCCUGCCUAAUUUCAAUUUAAUUUCCUUUUGUACUGUGACCAAGAUAUGUGGCAUUUUCAGCAACUGAGUCUUACCAUCUACCAUCUGACACCAUCAUAGCUGGGCUUUUUGCUCUUAUCUACAACAUAGCCAUUUGAUCACCCUUUUCCACCCCAAUCCCUCCUGCUCGUUCCAGUUUCUGGUAUUUUUUUUUUAAGAUUAUUUAUUUACUUAUUUAUUAUAUAUACAACAUUCUGCUUCCAUGUAUAUCUGCACACCAGAAGAGGGCACCAGAUCUCAUAACGGAUGGUUGUGAGCCACCAUGUGGUUGCUGGAAAAUGAACUCAGGACCUCUGGAAGAGCAGCCGGUGCUCUUAACCUCUGAGCCAUCUCUCCAGCCCCUGGACUGAGGAUUGAAGUCUGGGCUGUUAACCUUGGUAGAACAUGCUCUCUGAGCAGCACCGUGGCAGUCAGCAAAAACAAAUGCCUGAAAGAGGAGGCAAUCCAUUGCCUAAAACAACUUGGCACACUGGGAAAGCUCCAGCUAUGUUCAUUAUUAGAAACACUGGAAAAUCAGUAGUCACAAGGACUCAAGGAGCCUAAACUGCAUCUGAUGGCCUCACAGACUGUGUGUUUGAAGUGAGCUUUGCUGAUUUACAGAAUGACAAAGUUGCAUUUAGAAAAUUUAAGGUAAUUACUGAAGAUGUUCAGGGCAAAAAUUGACUAACUUCAAUGGCAUGGCUCUUAUCCUGGACAAAAUGUGUUCUGUGGUCAAAAAGUGGCAGACUAUGGUUGAAGCUCAUGUUGAUGUCAAGACUGCUGAUGGUUAUUUGCUUCGUCUGUUUUGUGUUGGUUUCACUAAAACCAGAAACAAGCAGGUACACAAAAGUCCUGUGCACAGCAUCACCAGGUCCACUGGAUCAUGGAAAUCAUGACCUGAGAAGUACAGACAAAUGACUUGAAGGAAGUGGUUACUAAAUGUUUCCAGACAACAUUGGGAAAGACAUAGAAAGGGUUUGCUAUUCCAGUUAUCCAUUUCACAGUCUUUGUAAGAAAAGUAAAAAUGCUGAAGAAAAUCAAGUUAGAAAUGAGAAAAUAAAUGGAGCUCCAUAGUGAAGGUUCUGGAAAAACUACUGGUGACAAGACAGGUGUUAAAGUUGAAUGAGCUAAUGGAUGGGAACCUCUAGUCCAAGAAUCUGUUUAAAACCCAGACUUUUAGUAGGGACAAAUAAAAAGUCCUAUUUGUGAGAGAAAAAGAAAAAAGAAAAAAAUCAUUUUCAUGUGUAAGUAUUCUUUGGUAAUUUUAAUGAAUUCUUUUUUGAGGCAGAGUCUCUUGUAACCCAGCCUGACUUUGAACCCCUUACAGUCAGGAGGCCUCCUGAUUCCACCUCCCAGGUGCUGAGAUUUGAGGCAUGAUGCUGAGCCCACCUAUCAUAUCCUUUAAUGACUGCCCAGCUCUUAUUGGCUUACUUGGAUGAUUUACUCAUUAUUGAUUAUCAAUUUCUCUAUUCCUGUCAGGGGAAAAAAUUCUCUUUUUCAUGAAUAAAGCAGUCUAUCUUCUUCUUAACACUUGAAGAAUCUGAGGCAAAGAAAAGGGUGAGCAAGUUCUUAAGAUCAAUAAAUGAGCCAGGUGACGGUGGUGCAGCCUUUGUUCCCAGCACUCAGGAGGCAGAGGCAGGUAGAUCUCUGAGCUCAAGGCCAACCUAGUCUACAGAAUGAGUUCCAGGACAGCCAGGGUUACACAGAGACACUUUGUCUCAGAAAAAAAUCAAUAAAUGAUAAAGAGCAGAUUCAAAAUAAGACUUGGAUGUUUUUAUUUAUUGGGGGGGGGGGGUGCUGAUAAGACAGGGUCUUAUGUAACCUUCAUUCUGGCCCCUGAACUCAUGAUAUAGACAAAGCAAUCUUGAAUUCCUCUGAAUCUGCACCAAGUGUUGUGGUGACAGGCAUAUAUCAUCAGAGAUGGCUUCUGUUUUAUUUUUAAAAUCUAGGUCCCCAGACUGACCCCAGAAUCAAAAUCUACCUGCCUCAACCUUCCAAGUACUAAGAAAAUUAAGAUUUUUUUUUAAAGCCCAUGUCUGUCGUUCUUUUUUCUCUGUGUACUGAAUUACUGUAUUUAUGGUGAACUCGGGAGCUGACUGCACAUUGAAAUCCCCAGGAGCUUUGAAACCACACCCCAGAUCAAUGAAGACAAAAUAUCUGAGGGCGGGUGGAGGGUUGGGAUUUUUCCUUUCUUUUUAAGAAUUCUGGUCUUGUUUGUUUGUUUUAUUGAUUGGCUGGUUUUAGGAUUUUCACACUGUAGCCCAGCCUGUCCUGGAACCCAUGUGUAGCACAGGCUGGCCUCAAACUCAUGGCAAUCUGUUUGCCCCAACCUCCCACUGCUAGGGUCACAGACAUGUACCACCACUCAUGGCUCAUGUUUAAGCUGAGUUUGAGAGUCAUGUGCAGCUGAGUUUGAGAACCACUUGAUAAGUUCUUACAUUCAAAAUUCUGUGAAGUUUGAAUGCCAUUUGCUAUCCCUCAUCCCUAAAAUGAUAGACCCUACACACAUCUUUUCAUAGUGUAAUCUGAGAAUGGAAUGUAACCUAUCAAGGUAGAGCUGUAAGAUAAAAGCUUUAAUCUUUCUGAAAUGCUUUUACUUAUAAAAUAAAG